AGAUUACUUUUAUAAUGAAUAGGACGAUGAAAGUCGUGAUGAUCAAAAUAAUCAUGACGAAUUUCAUCGUCCUAUUCAUUAUAAAAG
rnacentral:pre_miRNA from 1 species